CUUCAGCGACUCCUCUUGAAAGAGAGGGGUGUCUUCCGAAGUGUGGACACGGUGUUGCAUGGUUGUCAUCAGUUCGUGCCACAAGGUAUUGGGUUAAGUCCAGCAAUGAGGGCAACCCACGUAUUUAGUUGCCAUCAUUGAGUUAAUAAUUCCCUAAUUUUACCAAUCCAAGAAAAUGAAACUGAAAUCAUAAACC
rnacentral:rRNA from 1 species